rnacentral:rRNA from 1 species
GACGAACGCUGGCGGCGUGCCUAAUACAUGCAAGUUGAGCGCUGAAGGUUGGUACUUGUACCAACUGGAUGAGCAGCGAACGGGUGAGUAACGCGUGGGGAAUCUGCCUUUGAGCGGGGGACAACAUUUGGAAACGAAUGCUAAUACCGCAUAAAAACUUUAAAAACAAGUUUUAAGUUUGAAAGAUGCAAUUGCAUCACUCAAAGAUGAUCCCGCGUUGUAUUAGCUAGUUGGUGAGGUAAAGGCUCACCAAGGCGAUGAUACAUAGCCGACCUGAGAGGGUGAUCGGCCACAUUGGGACUGAGACACGGCCCAAACUCCUAAGGGAGGCAGCAGUAGGGAAUCUUCGGCAAUGGACGAAAGUCUGACCGAGCAACGCCGCGGGAGGGAAGAAGGUUUUCGGAUCGUAAAACUCUGUUGGUAGAGAAGAACGUUGGUGAGAGUGGAAAGCUCAUCAAGUGACGGUAACUACUCAGAAAGGGACGGCUAACUACGUG